GUGUGAGCGAGCCUGCUCGCGAUGGCGGUGUGUCAGGCAACAAUAAUGUUGAAUGUGCCGGCCAUUCGCGAGCAGGCUCGCUCCCAC
rnacentral:antisense_RNA from 1 species